rnacentral:rRNA from 1 species
UACGUAGGGUGCGAGCGUUGUCCGGAAUUAUUGGGCGUAAAGAGCUCGUAGGCGGUGUGUCGCGUCGGCCGUGAAAACCUGGGGCUCAACUCUGGGCGUGCGGUCGAUACGGGCAUCACUUGAGUUCGGCAGGGGAGACUGGAAUUCCUGGUGUAGCGGUGAAAUGCGCAGAUAUCAGGAGGAACACCGGUGGCGAAGGCGGGUCUCUGGGCCACAACUGACGCUGAGGCGCGAAAGCUAGGGGAGCAAACAGG